AAAAGAAAGGCAUUUCUCUUCUCCACAUUCGGCUAGGAUGAACAAAACUAGAGAAAGGAAAUUUUUCUCUCCAUUUCUCACCAUUGUCGAAUCUUCAUUAAACUAAUUAUGAUGUCAGGACAUUGAAAAGCAAAUGGAAAGGCAAUGUUGUUGAUGAAUAGUUAAUAUGGUUUGUGAUCUCAUAAUUCGAGUUUGUUACAUAUUUAAAUGUAUUUGCUUGACUUGUUAAGUGAUCAGAAAUAGUAAACAAUCAACAUUAUUAUGUUUGAAA